GGGUCUCCCAGGCAGAGGAAGCAGCACAUACAAAGGCAUCCAGGUGUCCCAUAGCAUGUUUUGAACGCCAAAUAUUUUAAUGCUGAAUAAAUUGGAGAGAGGAAAAACAGAACUAGCGAAGUCUGGAGGGAGCUGCUUUAGGGGAAAAAAUCACAAGGAUAAUGGUUAAAUCAAAGAUUUGGAAACAAAAGGACAUGGAUCCGUUUCUAGUUGUGAAAUAUAUGACAAGUCACUUUAUCUCUCUGGGCCUGGUUUUCUCAUCUAUAUAAUGUGAAUUGUAUUACUGCAGUACAAUGUUCUUGAGAGGAUUAAGUAAGACAUAUAAAUAAAGCACUUUGCCUCAGAGCUGGUACAUACAUCAGCUCACUGAAUGAUAGUUGGUGCUGUUCUCACAAUCAUGGUUGAGUUUAAGUAUCAAUGGCCCAUCAAUGACAAUGCCCACCAGGCUGUUAGAAAUGGGGAGAAUGAUGUGCCAUCAAGGUCCGAGCAAGGAGAUAGGAUCCUUGAAACCCCAGGAGCAUCAAGUCCCUCAAAGGGCCCAGAUGUCAGGAGAAGGGCAGAGUCUCAGGCUGAGCGUCUGGAUUAUCACAAGAUGUUUGUGUUCGGUGCAGGGGAGGACUAGGAGCUGGCCACUGAGGGAGCAGGCGGGACAAGGUCCAUAUGGCCUCAUGGGAGCCAAAGGAGGUGAGAAUUCAAGUGAGUCAGGAUCAAAUACUUGACCAAGAAGUUUCUAGAAUAAGUAUUAUGGAAUGACUAGGACUGAGAAAGUUGUAGGAGAUUAAGAGGAGACUAGGUGAGAGAGAGCAGAUGGAGGAAGCGAAAGUUUGUGAAAAACAGGUGACCUGAGUUCUAGGCCCCACUCUGAAAAUAACCCCAUCCUUUUUGGGAAGGUCGCAUACCCCCCUCUAUGCCUUUUUCCUUAUCUGUAGCAUGAGACGGUUAGACUAGAUGACUUUGAAAUUCCUUUCCAGCUCUCAGAUACUAAGCACACCAAGCUGUGGGGCGUUGUGGGGAGAGGGUUAAGGAAGACAUGCUAUAGAUGUUACAGAGUCUGUACCAUCUCCUCCCUUUUCCUCUAUUUGGCCACUUCUACUGCCUGGAGGAAGGAACACAGAGGGGACAGCCUAUAAGUCAGCACCCAUCAAUCUCUACCUCCCAUAUUCCUGCCCUUAUGUAGUUAUCUUCUCUUGAGUGGGAUUGGUGGGCCCCUAGUGACUUACUUCUAGUAAAUAUAAUAUGAAAAAGUGAUGGAUGUCACUUCUGAGAUGACAAAGGACUCAAAGUGUGUGAGGUACAAAGAGACUGUGGCUUUCAUAUGUGUAUUCUCUUGUGCUUUCUCACUCACUCCCUCUCUCCAAGGAAAGCCACCUGCCACAUUGUAAGCUGUCCUGUGGAGAUGUCCGCAUGGCAAAGAACUGAGAGAGGGCCCCAGCCAGUGGUGAGUGAGGCGUUCGUGAGAAACUGAAUUCUACUCACAGCACCAGGAAUCUUCCCAGCUGAGUUUUCAGAUGAGACCACAACCCCAGCAGACAUUUUGCAGCCUUGCUAGAUAGAAUGCAGAGGUAGAGGCACCCAACUAGGCUGUUCUUAGAUUCCUGGGAUUCCACAGAAUCCCUGUGGAUAAUGACCGUUUGGGUUAUUAAGCCAUUCAGUAGGGGAGGAGGGAGGUGAUUUGCACACAACAAUACGUAAUUACAAACUACAAGAUGACAAACAGAACAGGGCUGCAUUUUUUAAGAAAAGGAGAAGUUAACUCCAGGAAUAGAAGAGUGGAGGAAGCAUUUGAAACAAAAGGAAUGGUACAUGGCAGUCUCAGACUUGGAUUUCAGCAUGCCAUGAUUCUCAAUCCCCCACAUGGAUCCAGUACAGAGUUGGUCCUCUAUACUCAUUUAAUUCACUUAAUUGUAGUUAAUUCAUCACCGUCACCUCCCCAUAAUCCUUGAAAAAUGUUUAUUGUGCUCAAUUCUCAUUUCCCCAAACUCAUCAUAUUAUUCUUGUUCAGAAAUACUUCACCAAGUCUCUUGGGAUUUUCAGGAAUGUGUGCCUACUGAUUUGCAUGCAGGAAGACAUACAAGAAUCUUUUUGUUAGAGGUUAUUGAGAUAUGUUCUUUUGAAACCUCUUCCUUGAUCUUCUUCUGCAGACAGAUUUAACUAAUGGGCGAGGUGUCUUAGUCCUGGGAGUGCUAUCCUUCAUUUUCUACCCAGCUUCAUUUAUAAGGACUAGCCUCAUAGUCUCUUCUCUUUGCUCUGCUGACAUAUUUACUGAAACCCUGCCCAGCAAUUUUUCACAUAAGAUGGGAUUUCCAUUUGAGCGUGGAAUCUGCUAGCAGAACUAGGGUUACCUCCCUCUGGAAUAGAUGAGGAAAUCUUAUCAUAUCCAUUUUCUUUGUCCAGUAUUUAUAUCCAGACUCCUCAGCCUCCUUUGCAGUUCAGUUGGGACUCAGGUGACUCGUUCUGGUCAAUGAACUGUAAACAGAAGGGAUGUGUUGUCCCAUCUGUUUGAGGGCAGUUAAGAAACUCUAUUCUCCUGCUGAGAUACCCACAGGGGCCAUGAAUUGACAAGGGAGGUAUUGAGAAUGGAAGCAGUCUGGAUUGUUGAGUUAGUGUAUGAAGAACAACCAUCCUACCCUGAAGUUUAAGAGGGCAAGAGUUUAAAACUUACCAUGUUAAGUCACUGAAACGUGAGGGCUUAUUUAUUACACAGCAUAAUCUAGCUUAUACUGAUGAAGGAACCCCUUAAAAAAAGAGACGUGACAGAAAACCUGAAAGCUACACAAAAAUGGUACUACAUGAGAUCAGAGAGAUCCUAAGGGCUCCACUCUUGCCAGGGACCCGUGGACCAAGUUGAGGAUGCUGGUGGGAGAGUUCAAAGGGCAUAGAGCAGGGGUGGCAUAAUCAGAGCCCUUUGCUCCUCGUUGGAGAAUGGAGUGAUGGUGGAUAUAGAUAGAGGUCCGAUGAGGGAUGGCUCUGCUUAGAUGAAGGUGGUGGGAGAAUCAAUGAAGAGAUGUGGAGGAAUUUGAACUCUACUUUAUGUAGAAUCCACAAAACAUUGAUUGAUGAGAUCACUCCAAAGGUGGAUAUAUAUCAAGAUAUCCCAGAUUCUCAACUGAGUGUGCAGUGGUGCCCUUCUUCGGAAUAAGUAACACAUGCAAAGCACCAGAUGUGGUACGAGGGUGGGGAGUGUAGGGGAAGGUGAUCAAUCCAGCUUUAGAUGUAGUCAGUAGAAAGUGAAUGUGAGGCAGCCACAUGGCAAAGAUUAGUGGGUACUUGGAGAUACAGGUAGACCUCGAGAGGUCAAGGGUAAGAAGUAGACAUUUCUGUCAUCAGCUAAGAGAUGGCUGUCAAAGAUGCAGGCAUGUAAGAGAGAGCAACAGGGAGUUCCCAGGCUCAGUGGAAACGAAUCUGACUAGCAUCUAUGAGGAUGCAGGUUUGAUCCCUGCCCUUGCUCAGUGGGCUCAGGAUCCAGUGUUGCCAUGAGCUGUGGUAUAGGUCACAGGCUGGCUCAGAUCUGGCAUUGCUGUGGCUGUGGCAUAGGCCAGUGGCUACAGCUCUGAUUUGACUCCCAGCCUGGGAACCUCCAUAGACCUCAGGUGUGCUCCAAAAAGGCCCAAAAAAACAAAAACAAAAACAAAACAAAAAAAAAAACAAAGCAAAAGACCCCAAACAAACAAACAAACAGAAAAUAUAAAGCAACAGGGGGAAAAUGUAGGAGGAAAGGCUUUAUUUCAGUUUAGCAAAGAUCUUAUUUGUACCAGGUCCAGCUGGCUACGGCAUACAAAGACGAAUAAGACAGAGUGCCCUGAGUUUCUUAGAGAAUCGAGCAUGGUGUACAGGCAUAUACACAGUAACAGGAUGGAUGAUGUGACCAUCCCUGCUGGCAGGUAGGGGCAGGUGGGGGUCUGUAAACCUUGGUCUGUCAUCAUCAUAGGAGCUCCUGACUCACUGAGUAAUGUCUUGUCUUCCUUAAGACUUUGACGUCUUUCCUCACAGUCAUCCACCAGCCACGAGGUGGGGAUCUUCCCGCUCUUCCUACCUAGUCUUUGCAAACCCAAACUCUGUUCUUUUGCAUCCUGUGGAUCUGUUUCUGCAAUGGAAAUCCCCUUCUCAGGUUCCCCAGGCAAUAGUCGUCCCCCAAACUUUGCAGAGCUGCAGAACUUUUGAUGCCAGCCGCCUCAUCCAAAAAGUGAAACUAAAUGAACUCACUGCCUUAUGCAGCUGUCUCCAUUGGUAAUGGAAUCCUUUUAUUACAGGGAAUUAGUUUAAAACAUGUUAUUAAACAGAUCAAAAUGAGCAAUAGCAAUGAAAGUCGUUAAAAUGCAAGGCGUAAGAGAGCACAGCUUCCCCCCUGAAAUAAGAGAAAUCUGAAAGUUAUGAUUGGAACAAUUUUGAGUGGGAAGAAAAUGAGAAUGAGGUGCCACAAGGGAUAAAGUGAUGUGGGGACAACAGCUACUGCUGAAAAUGGUGGGGCUCACCUCAGAGGAAGAAGGGGUGCUCCAAAGAAGAGUCUCUGGUGUAACCCAAAGGGAAGGGCCCAGGGCCAGGGUACGGAUGGAUGCAGAGGCCCCGGGGAAACCCAGCAAAUGGUAGGUUAGCCAGUCUUGCAGUCACAGUAGAGUAACAGUGGCCAAUAUGCUGAGCAUUUUCCAUGUGUUACCAUUUUGCUAAAUUCUGCAUUUGCACAUCUUACUUAAUCCCUGUAACAACCAAUGCAGUAGGUAAGGGUAUCACCCUCCUUUUCACGGACAGGGAAACUGAGCCUCAGAAAGGUUCAUAUCUUGGGAGUUCCCGUCAUGGCGCAGUGGAAACCAAUCUGACUAGCAACCAUGAGCACGCAGGUUCGAUCCCUGGCCUUGUUCAGUGGGUUAAGGAUCUGGCAUUGCUGUGAGCUUUGGUGUAGGUUGCAGACCUGGCUUGGAUCCCGCGUUGCUGUGGCUGUGGCAUAGGCUGGCAGCUACAGCUCCCAUUCGACCCCUAGCCUGGGAACCUCCAUAUGCCACAGGUGCGGCCCUAAAAAGUCCAAAAAGAAAAAAAA
rnacentral:lncRNA from 1 species